UUGACAUUAAAGUUGCUGCAGAAAACAUACCUGCAGAUUAUGGUGACUGCGACGGGCUCAGAGUAAGCAGCGACGGCGACAAAGCAAAGAUCCAGCGACGCCGACGGGAGGCAUAGGAAGCAGCGACGGCGACCGGAGCAAAGAUCCAACGAGAGCGACGAG